CUUUUGAACAGAGAAAAAGAAAUGAAGAAGUAUAUAUCGUAACAUGCCAUGCACUGUGCCAUAUCCAGUAAUUUUGACUUGUUUCAAGUUUCCAGCUAAUAGCAGCUAUUGCUAAUGCAGUGAAUCCCGCAAGUAGAAAGCGCCACCGAAAGCGCUUCAGAAGAGACCGAAUGAAAUUAUGAACCCAUGCUUUUACAGUUUCCCAUCUGUUGAGCAUGUUCAAACAAAUUUCUGUUGAAAAGGAAAUCCAUCUAUGAUGACUAAAGAAUUCAAUGAGGAACCCAAUGAACAGAGCCAAAGUACCAAUAGCGACGACAAGAAUAAUGUUUGAGGACUUGG
rnacentral:misc_RNA from 1 species